UACGUAGGGGGCUAGCGUUGUCCGGAAUCAUUGGGCGUAAAGCGCGCGUAGGCGGCCCGGUAAGUCCGCUGUAAAAGUCCAGGGCUCAACCCUGGAAAGCCGGUGGAUACUGUCGGGCUCGAGUCCGGAAGAGGCGAGUGGAAUUCCUGGUGUAGCGGUGGAAUGCGCAGAUAUCAGGAGGAACACCGGUGGCGAAGGCGGGUCUCUGGGCAGUAACUGACGCUGAGAAGCGAAAGCGUGGGGAGCGAACAGG
rnacentral:rRNA from 1 species